rnacentral:rRNA from 1 species
UACGAGGGGGGCAAGCGUUGUUCGGAAUUAUUGGGCGUAAAGGGUGCGUAGGCGGUUUGGUAGGUCCGUUGUGAAAACUCGAGGCUCAACCUCGAGACGCCGAUGGAAACCAUCAGACUAGAGUCCGGAAGAGGAGAGUGGAAUUCCUGGUGUAGCGGUGAAAUGCGCAGAUAUCAGGAAGAACACCCGUGGCUAAGGCGGCUCUCUAGUACGGUACUGACGCUGAGACGCGAAAGCGUGGGGAGCGAACAGG